AUGUUUGUAACUUAAUCUGGAUAAAGUAUUAAACUACGAAUUUAAGCAUGAAAGUUCAAAUCUUUCCAAGCAUU
rnacentral:tRNA from 1 species